CCUACGGGAGGCAGCAGUGGGGAAUCUUGCACAAUGGAGGAAACUCUGAUGCAGCGAUGCCGCGUGAGUGAAGAAGGCCUUUGGGUUGUAAAGCUCUUUCGUCGGGGAAGAAAAUGACUGUACCCGAAUAAGAAGGUCCGGCUAACUUCGUGCCAGCAGCCGCGGUAAUACGAAGGGACCUAGCGUAGUUCGGAAUUACUGGGCUUAAAGAGUUCGUAGGUGGUUAAAAAAGUUGAUGGUGAAAUCCCAAGGCUCAACCUUGGAACUGCCAUCAAAACUUUUUAGCUAGAGUAUGAUAGGGGAAAGUGGAAUUUCUAGUGUAGAGGUGAAAUUCGUAGAUAUUAGAAAGAACAUCAAAAGCGAAGGCAACUUUCUGGAUCAUUACUGACACUGAGGAACGAAAGCAUGGGUAGCGAAGAGGAUUAGAUACCCUCGUAGUCCAUGCCGUAAACGAUGUGUGUUAGACGUUGGAAAUUUAUUUUCAGUGUCGCAGGGAAACCGAUAAACACACCGCCUGGGGAGUACGACCGCAAGGUUAAAACUCAAAGGAAUUGACGGGG
rnacentral:rRNA from 1 species